rnacentral:misc_RNA from 1 species
UACGAAGGGUGCAAGCGUUAUUCGGAUUGAUUGGGCGUAAAGGGUGCGCAGACGGUCUAUUAAGUCGAUUGUUAAAUUUCCCGGCCUAACUGGGAGCAAGCAAUUGAUACUGGUAGACUAGAGGGUGGAAGAGAGAAGUGGAAUUCUCGGAGUAGCGGUAAAAUGCGUAGAUCUCGAGGGGAACACCGAUGGCGAAGGCAGCUUCUUGGUCCAUUUCUGACGUUCAUGCACGAAAGCGUGGGUAGCAAACAGG